rnacentral:rRNA from 1 species
CCCUUAGAUGCUCUUGGCCGCACGUGCGCUACACUGAUGCAUUCAACGAGUUUUUCCUGGUCCGAGAGGAAUGGGUAACCUUUUGAAAGUGCAUCGUGCUAGGGAUAGACUAUUGCAAUUAUUGGUCUUCAACGAGGAAUUCCUAGUAGACGUAGUUCAUCAGACUGCAUCGAUUACGUCCCUGCCCUUUGUACACACCGCCCGUCGCUCCUACCGAUUGGAUGAUCCGGUGAGCUAUUCGGACCUUCGCUUCGUCGAUUUUCGGCUUUGUGAGGGAAAGUCUCGCGAACCUUAUCAUCUAGAGGAAGGAGAAGUCGUAACA